GGCAGGCUUAACAACAUGCCAAGUCGAGGGGGCAGCAUGUCCAAGCAAUGGAUGAUGGCGACCGGCGGAAGGGUGCGUAACGCGUGAGCAACAUGCCCUAUACAGGGAGAUACACCAGGGAAACUUGGUCUAAUAUCCCAUAGCAUUCAUUGAAGGCAUCUUUAAUGAAUUAAAGCUUCGGUGGUAUAGGAUUGGCUCGCGUGACAUUAGCCAGAUGGUGAGGUAACGGCUCACCAUAGCAAUGAUGUCUAGGGGUUUUGAGAGGAAGGCCCCCCACACUGGGACUGAGACACGGCCCAGACUCCUACGGGAGGCAGCAGUGAGGAAUAUUGGACAAUGGACGCAAGUCUGAACCAGCCAUGUCGCGUGCAGGAUGACUGCCCUAUGGGUUGUAAACUGCUUUUAUAUUGGAAGAAUUGCGCUUACGAGUUAAGCGUUUGACGGUACAUUAUGAAUAAGGAUCGGCUAACUCCGUGCCAGCAGCCGCGGUAAUACGGAGGAUCCGAGCGUUAUCCGGAUUUAUUGGGUUUAAAGGGUGCGUAGGCGGCCAUUUAAGUCAGCGGUGAAAUCCUGCAGCUUAACUGUAGAAUAGCCGUUGAAACUGUGUUUCUUGAGUACAUUUGAGGUAGGCGGAAUGUGGUGUGUAGCGGUGAAAUGCAUAGAUAUACCACAGAACACCGAUUGCGAAGGCAGCUUACUAAACUGUCACUGACGCUGAUGCACGAAAGCGUGGGUAUCAAACAGGAUUAGAUACCCUGGUAGUCCACGCUGUAAACGAUGAUUACUGGUUGUUUGCGAUACACUGCAAGUGACUGAGCGAAAGC
rnacentral:rRNA from 1 species